AUUGAACGCUGGCGGCAUGCUUUACACAUGCAAGUCGAACGGCAGCACGGGGGCAACCCUGGUGGCGAGUGGCGAACGGGUGAGUAAUGCAUCGGAACAUACCCAGUCGUGGGGGAUAACGUAGCGAAAGUUGCGCUAAUACCGCAUACGUCCUGAGGGAGAAAGCGGGGGAUCGCAAGACCUCGCGCGAUUGGAGUGGCCGAUGUCAGAUUAGCUAGUUGGUGGGGUAAAGGCCCACCAAGGCGACGAUCUGUAGCGGGUCUGAGAGGAUGAUCCGCCACACUGGGACUGAGACACGGCCCAGACUCCUACGGGAGGCAGCAGUGGGGAAUUUUGGACAAUGGGGGCAACCCUGAUCCAGCCAUGCCGCGUGCGGGAAGAAGGCCUCGGUUGUAACCG
rnacentral:rRNA from 1 species